GGCAGCAUGGUCUUAGCUUGCUAAGGCCGAUGGCGACCGGCGCACGGGUGAGUAACACGUAUCCAACCUGCCGUCUACUCUUGGACAGCCUUCUGAAAGGAAGAUUAAUACAAGAUGGCAUCAUGAGUCCGCAUGUUCACAUGAUUAAAGGUAUUCCGGUAGACGAUGGGGAUGCGUUCCAUUAGAUAGUAGGCGGGGUAACGGCCCACCUAGUCUUCGAUGGAUAGGGGUUCUGAGAGGAAGGUCCCCCACAUUGGAACUGAGACACGGUCCAAACUCCUACGGGAGGCAGCAGUGAGGAAUAUUGGUCAAUGGGCGAGAGCCUGAACCAGCCAAGUAGCGUGAAGGAUGACUGCCCUAUGGGUUGUAAACUUCUUUUAUAAAGGAAUAAAGUCGGGUAUGCAUACCCGUUUGCAUGUACUUUAUGAAUAAGGAUCGGCUAACUCCGUGCCAGCAGCCGCGGUAAUACGGAGGAUCCGAGCGUUAUCCGGAUUUAUUGGGUUUAAAGGGAGCGUAGAUGGAUGUUUAAGUCAGUUGUGAAAGUUUGCGGCUCAACCGUAAAAUUGCAGUUGAUACUGGAUAUCUUGAGUGCAGUUGAGGCAGGCGGAAUUCGUGGUGUAGCGGUGAAAUGCUUAGAUAUCACGAAGAACUCCGAUUGCGAAGGCAG
rnacentral:rRNA from 1 species